CUAUUAGGAUGACAAUAUUUUUUUGUCAGCAGCAGCUCACCUAAUAAGUGCUGAUGCUUUGGGUCUGAGUGA